rnacentral:rRNA from 1 species
UACGGGGGGGGCAAGCGUUGUUCGGAAUUACUGGGCGUAAAGGGCUCGUAGGCGGCCAACUAAGUCAGACGUGAAAUCCCUCGGCUUAACCGGGGAACUGCGUCUGAUACUGGAUGGCUUGAGUUUGGGAGAGGGAUGCGGAAUUCCAGGUGUAGCGGUGAAAUGCGUAGAUAUCUGGAGGAACACCGGUGGCGAAGGCGGCUCUCUGGACCGAUACUGACGCUGAGGCGCGAAAGCGUGGGGAGCAAACAGG